UAAUGAUUAACAGGGACAGUCAAGGGCAAUUGUAUUUCAUAGUUAGAGGUGAAAUUCUUGGAUUUAUAAAAGACGAACAACUGCGAAAACAUUUUCCAAUGAUGUUUUCAUUAAUCAAGAACAAAAGUUGGGGGCUCGAAGACAAUCAGAUACCCGAUGCCGACCAAGGAUUGGUGGAUGUUACUUAUAGGACUCUACGGACACCUUAUAAGAAAUCAAAAUCUUUAGGUUCCGGGGGGAGUAUGGUCACAAGGCUAAAACUUAAAGGAAUUGACGAAAGGGCACUACUAGGAGUGGAGCCUGCGGCUUAAUUUGACUCAACAUGGGGAAACUUACCAAGUCCAGACAUAGUAAGGAUUGACAAACUGAAAGCUCUUUCUUGAUUCUAUGGGUAGUGGUGCAUGUCCGUUCUUAGUUGGUGGAGUGAUUUGUUUGAUUAAUUCCGUUAACGAACAUGACCUCCACCUGCAUAGGAUAACAUCAUAGGAUUUCAGUCCUAUUCUGUUGGCCUUUGAGAUCAGAGUAAUGAUUAACAGGGACAGUCAAGGGCAAUUGUAUUUCAUAGUUAGAGGUGAAAUUUUUGGAUUUAUGAAAGACAAACAACUGCGAAAACAUUUUCCAAGGAUGUUUUCAUUAAUCAAGAACAAAAUUUGGGGGGCUCAAAGAUGAUCAGAUACCCAAUGCCGACCACGGAUCGGUGGAUGUUACUUAUAGGACUCCACCGACACCUUAUAAGAAAUCAAAAUCUUUAGGUUCCGGGGGGAGUAUGAUCACAAGGCUAAAACUUAAAGGAAUUGACAAAAGGGCACUACUAGGAGUGGAGCCUGUGGCUUAAUUUGACUCAACACAGGGAAACUUACCAGGUCCAGACAUAAUAAGGAUUGACAAACUAAGAGCUCCUUCUUGAUUCUAUGGGUGGUGGUGCAUGUCUGUUCUUAGUUGGUGGAGUGAUUUGUUUGGUUAAUUCCGUUAACGAACAAGACCUCCACCUGCUUACUAGCUAUGUGGAGGUGACCCUCUAUGGCCAACUUCUUAGAGGGACUUUGGCUGCUUAGGCCAAGGUAAUUUGAGGCAAUAACAGGUCUGUGAUGCCUUUAGAUGUUUUGGGCUGCACGCGCACUACACUGAUGUAUUCAACAAGUUUAUAGCCAUGGCCAACAGGCCUAGGUAAUCUUUGAAAUUUUAUCGUGAUGGGGAUAGAUCAUUGCAAUUGUUGGUCUUCAACGAGGAAUUCCUAGUAAGCGCUAGUCAUUAGCUCGUGUUAACUAUGUCCCUGCCCUUUGUACACACCGCUCGUAGCUCCUACAGAUUGAAUCGUCGGGUUGUUUGGGAAUGUAGCCCUAAUUGGGCGGUAAAUUCUGUCCAAGGCUAAAUACGGGCGAGAGACCGAUAGCAAACAAGUACCGCG
rnacentral:rRNA from 1 species